AAGGUUGGGAGAAGGGUGACAGAAAACCAGAGAAAUGUGUCCAUAGUUCAUUGGCAAAAUGCUACAGACUCAUUUGUAUUUUCUGCACUUAAUAGCAGCUUACAGCUUUAAUGACAUGACUGACUGACACAUUAAUUACAUUUACAAGCACAAAACAGUCUGCUUUUUGCCUUUAUUCUGAAAAAGACAAUACCUACGCAGUUUUGUGCAUUUGCCCUUCAAAACAUGUAACAACGAAACGGCUGGAGCUGCUUGUGCCAUUUUGCGUCAAACUGGUAUUUUUCCACCGGCGGCGGGCCUGUUAGACCGUGCAAACACAGCCUCCUUCUUUCAUCCCUUUAACCACCUUCUUGAAAAGGUUGAUGUUGUGAUACAUGUGCAUAUCCAAAAAAACUGUUAAUAUCUAAGUAUUUCACAAGGUUUGAAAGUAGACAUGUAUCUCUUUCCCACCAGAAAUGUAAGCUUUUCUUUUGAGCAUGCAUCUCAACCCAAGGUUUGCAAUCUGUUGGCUAGUUGGUUUGUGCACCAUGCACAGAGCUGACUGUAACAGACAAGAGGCCGUGUGUUGCAAAGUGCAGUAAAAACCCAGCUGAGACGCAUAUUCUGAAUGCACUGUAUACAUGUCCAAAGAAUGCUCCUUAAACCCAAAUAAUACUGGCAUAUCCCACAUGUGCUAAUUGUAAAAUGCCACAUUCAGAAUUUUGGAAUAUCCAAAUAGAAGAUGCUGUUUACAUGACCUGCAUCAGUUGUGGAAUACUGUUAUUCCCGGAAAAAUAGUGCAAUAUACUGUAAGUGUGCAUGCAAACACAGUCAGUGGUUUGCUCUGGAAAAUAACUGUGACCUUUGGUUAAAGGACUCUGAAAGUUUUCCAAAUAGCUCCAGUUUUAUUCCUCGUUGACGAAUUCCUGAUUUGAUGCAAAGCCUCCACAUGGAACCAAACCUAUUUUCUCACUCUUUUACUUUGUUUUUUUUGUUCUUCUGUUAACACUGAGUGGCGGUAGGACAUGAAUGUUUGUCCUACAGUAGCAGGAGUUAUCACCAUGUCAAAGCAUAUUUGGGAAAUCUGUUUGCAUCAACUUUUACCACAUCUUCUUAUUAAAGAUACACCACUUUUACACCCCCGCCAAGUAUAAUAUUCAACUCCAUAUCAGAAGCAUAUCAGGUACAUGUAUGUAUGACUGUCGUAAUAAAAACCUGCGUCCGGCGGCUCGACUGUUUGCGUAGCUCGGGCAGAGGACGACCACAAAGUUCUGUUUUCUUUUCUCUGCGGGGGCUGAAGGGGGAGUGAUAAAGGCGGCCUUUGAGACUGUGAUGCCCCUGCCUGAAAGAUUAAUCAUUCAGAUGCAAAGCAGAGCCCCGUGGGCACUGACAGCCACCCCGAGAUCCUGGGACUCAAACGGGCCUAUUGACCGUCAUUCUGAGGCCUCCACCCCAAACGCUGGUGGUGACAGUGACACACUAUGUCAGCAUGCUGAUUCAUCAGAGGCUGAAACAGCAUCAUGACUCACGGUUUUGACUGAGCAAUUAGGCUCUUAUAUUGGUUUAAUAUGACUAAUCAGUUAUUAGCAGCUGAGCUCAUGACAGCAUGAGCUCAUCACGGCAGGGGUGAGGAAGUGCACAACAGUUUUGGGAGCUUUUCAACAUAUUCCUCUGGAAAUGUGGCCGGGCUAAGAAUAUCACUGUGAAUUAGGCCUCUGUCCCACUUGGAGCAUCUACAAAGUUCCUUGUGAGGCCACGUGUGUUUGUACAUGAGCAGGGCCACGAUGAUCAAAGGGCGAACAUUUCAGGACUGCACAGUUACGGCGUGUGCUGCCAAAAGGACCCGGGCGGUAAUGAUUGUGUGUGUGUGUGUGUGUGUGUGUGUGUGUGUGUGUGUGUGUGUUUGUGUCCACAGCUCUGCUUUCUCUCUCACCUCUGCUGUCCAGCCGCUGACACACACCAGAGCCCACCGGCUGCCUUUCAUGUGGUUCACAGCUUAAUAGGUCUCACUGAUAAUUUCAAUGAAACACUUCCUUUGCCCCGCUACACUGCCUGGCUAUAAUCUACAGCUAAUUACGCUGAUCUGAGGUCUGGCAGCGAUCAUACACUGACUGGGAGCUGACCACACCUGUCAGUCACAAGGCGAUUCAGGAGUUCAUCGCUUUGUUAAUCUCUGAUGUCAAAUUUGGCUCGGGCACAUCAGGAAAGGGUGAGUGAAAGCUUCCAAAGGUUUCUGAACACUUCCUAUCCAGGGCUGUAAUACCAACCAGACAAAGCAGGGAACUUUACUUGGGCUCCAGAUCCCCAAGAGGCCACCGAAAGUAUCUGUUUCACUGUGUGCCAAUCCGUUUGUGGACUGAUCAACUGUAAGUUUGUUUGGAAAAAUGUAAAACUGUAGGUUCUGCUGUAUUACCUGAUCAUGAGAUCCUGUGUUGAGGUGUCAAAUUCUUUUACAGUUUUGUUUUAAAAGCUUUAACAGCUUGCAUAUUUUAGCUGGUAUUGUGCAUAUUUGUGUUUAAUCAAAUGAGCACACAGCAAACCUGACUGAGGUUAUAGCAUCCAAUAAUGUAAUAAUUCCCUGAAAAUAUAAUAACGCUUAAAAAUGUAAUAAAAUUUGCACUUCGUUUGACUAAAAUGUAACGAAAUACCAUAAAUGUAAUUACUUGACCAUACAUGUAAUAAAAUGUCCUGACUGAU